GGGUUGUGAGGUUAAGCGACUAAGCGUACACGGUGGAUGCCCUGGCAGUCAGAGGCGAUGAAGGACGUGCUAAUCUGCGAUAAGCGUCGGUAAGGUGAUAUGAACCGUUAUAACCGGCGAUUUCCGAAUGGGGAAACCCAGUGUGAUUCGUCACACUAUCAUUAACUGAAUCCAUAGGUUAAUGAGGCGAACCGGGGGAACUGAAACAUCUAAGUACCCCGAGGAAAAGAAAUCAACCGAGAUUCCCCCAGUAGCGGCGAGCGAACGGGGAGCAGCCCAGAGCCUGAAUCAGUGUGUGUGUUAGUGGAAGCGUCUGGAAAGGCGCGCGAUACAGGGUGACAGCCCCGUACACAAAAAUGCACAUGCUGUGAGCUCGAUGAGUAGGGCGGGACACGUGGUAUCCUGUCUGAAUAUGGGGGGACCAUCCUCCAAGGCUAAAUACUCCUGACUGACCGAUAGUGAACCAGUACCGUGAGGGAAAGGCGAAAAGAACCCCGGCGAGGGGAGUGAAAAAGAACCUGAAACCGUGUACGUACAAGCAGUGGGAGCACAGAGCAAUCUGUGUGACUGCGUACCUUUUGUAUAAUGGGUCAGCGACUUAUAUUCUGUAGCAAGGUUAACCGAAUAGGGGAGCCGAAGGGAAACCGAGUCUUAACUGGGCGUUAAGUUGCAGGGUAUAGACCCGAAACCCGGUGAUCUAGCCAUGGGCAGGUUGAAGGUUGGGUAACACUAACUGGAGGACCGAACCGACUAAUGUUGAAAAAUUAGCGGAUGACUUGUGGCUGGGGGUGAAAGGCCAAUCAAACCGGGAGAUAGCUGGUUCUCCCCGAAAGCUAUUUAGGUAGCGCCUCGUGAAUUCAUCUCCGGGGGUAGAGCACUGUUUCGGCAAGGGGGUCAUCCCGACUUACCAACCCGAUGCAAACUGCGAAUACCGGAGAAUGUUAUCACGGGAGACACACGGCGGGUGCUAACGUCCGUCGUGAAGAGGGAAACAACCCAGACCGCCAGCUAAGGUCCCAAAGUCAUGGUUAAGUGGGAAACGAUGUGGGAAGGCCCAGACAGCCAGGAUGUUGGCUUAGAAGCAGCCAUCAUUUAAAGAAAGCGUAAUAGCUCACUGGUCGAGUCGGCCUGCGCGGAAGAUGUAACGGGGCUAAACCAUGCACCGAAGCUGCGGCAGCGACGCUUAUGCGUUGUUGGGUAGGGGAGCGUUCUGUAAGCCUGCGAAGGUGUGCUGUGAGGCAUGCUGGAGGUAUCAGAAGUGCGAAUGCUGACAUAAGUAACGAUAAAGCGGGUGAAAAGCCCGCUCGCCGGAAGACCAAGGGUUCCUGUCCAACGUUAAUCGGGGCAGGGUGAGUCGACCCCUAAGGCGAGGCCGAAAGGCGUAGUCGAUGGGAAACAGGUUAAUAUUCCUGUACUUGGUGUUACUGCGAAGGGGGGACGGAGAAGGCUAUGUUGGCCGGGCGACGGUUGUCCCGGUUUAAGCGUGUAGGCUGGUUUUCCAGGCAAAUCCGGAAAACUAAGGCUGAGGCGUGAUGACGAGGCACUACGGUGCUGAAGCAACAAAUGCCCUGCUUCCAGGAAAAGCCUCUAAGCAUCAGGUAACAUCAAAUCGUACCCCAAACCGACACAGGUGGUCAGGUAGAGAAUACCAAGGCGCUUGAGAGAACUCGGGUGAAGGAACUAGGCAAAAUGGUGCCGUAACUUCGGGAGAAGGCACGCUGAUAUGUAGGUGAAGCGACUUGCUCGUGGAGCUGAAAUCAGUCGAAGAUACCAGCUGGCUGCAACUGUUUAUUAAAAACACAGCACUGUGCAAACACGAAAGUGGACGUAUACGGUGUGACGCCUGCCCGGUGCCGGAAGGUUAAUUGAUGGGGUCAGCGCAAGCGAAGCUCUUGAUCGAAGCCCCGGUAAACGGCGGCCGUAACUAUAACGGUCCUAAGGUAGCGAAAUUCCUUGUCGGGUAAGUUCCGACCUGCACGAAUGGCGUAAUGAUGGCCAGGCUGUCUCCACCCGAGACUCAGUGAAAUUGAACUCGCUGUGAAGAUGCAGUGUACCCGCGGCAAGACGGAAAGACCCCGUGAACCUUUACUAUAGCUUGACACUGAACAUUGAGCCUUGAUGUGUAGGAUAGGUGGGAGGCUUGGAAGUGUGGACGCCAGUCUGCAUGGAGCCGACCUUGAAAUACCACCCUUUAAUGUUUGAUGUUCUAACGUUGACCCGUAAUCCGGGUUGCGGACAGUGUCUGGUGGGUAGUUUGACUGGGGCGGUCUCCUCCUAAAGAGUAACGGAGGAGCACGAAGGUUGGCUAAUCCUGGUCGGACAUCAGGAGGUUAGUGCAAUGGCAUAAGCCAGCUUGACUGCGAGCGUGACGGCGCGAGCAGGUGCGAAAGCAGGUCAUAGUGAUCCGGUGGUUCUGAAUGGAAGGGCCAUCGCUCAACGGAUAAAAGGUACUCCGGGGAUAACAGGCUGAUACCGCCCAAGAGUUCAUAUCGACGGCGGUGUUUGGCACCUCGAUGUCGGCUCAUCACAUCCUGGGGCUGAAGUAGGUCCCAAGGGUAUGGCUGUUCGCCAUUUAAAGUGGUACGCGAGCUGGGUUUAGAACGUCGUGAGACAGUUCGGUCCCUAUCUGCCGUGGGCGCUGGAGAACUGAGGGGGGCUGCUCCUAGUACGAGAGGACCGGAGUGGACGCAUCACUGGUGUUCGGGUUGUCAUGCCAAUGGCACUGCCCGGUAGCUAAAUGCGGAAGAGAUAAGUGCUGAAAGCAUCUAAGCACGAAACUUGCCCCGAGAUGAGUUCUCCCUGACUCCUUGAGAGUCCUGAAGGAACGUUGAAGACGACGACGUUGAUAGGCCGGGUGUGUAAGCGCAGCGAUGCGUUGAGCUAACCGGUACUAAUGAACCGUGAGGCUUAACCUUACAACGCCGAAG
rnacentral:rRNA from 1 species